AGAAAGCACCCCAGGCAGCAAAGACCAACAGGAACAAAAGAACAGCAGAAGGACUUUGUCUGGGAGCCGUCACUUCAACCAGCGUCGAAGGCAAAUGACGAAGAACAGCAGGAAGAGAAAUGGGAAGAGGAAGAGGAAGAGGAAGAGGAAGAGGAAGAGGAAGAGGAAGAGGAAGAGGAAGGUCCUCUGUCUUCAUAAUUUCCAUCCCUUCCGUCUUCAAAAGGUGUUAAAUUCCCAUCCAUUCACUGAGACAAUAAUCCUCCUUCAGAGCAACACACUGUUCUCCAUGUUCGCCAGAAAAGACACAAACUGCUUCAAACAUCUCCUUUUCAGCUGAAAUUGCUCACCAAACUAUAGAACUUAUAGGUAAGUCUAUGUGAGAAAAUGCAAGAAUCCUAUGCAAAGGACACACAAAUAUUUCCCUGGUAGGAUAAAGCCACUGAGCCACUGGCAAUCUCUGCUUGUGCAGACAGAACUUGACAGCAAAUAGCUGUGACUCCUGAAGGAUUUAAUCUUAGAA
ensembl:lncRNA